rnacentral:rRNA from 1 species
GACAGAGGGUGCAAACGUUGUUCGGAUUUACUGGGCGUAAAGCGCGUGUAGGCGGCUUGGCAAGUCGGAUGUGAAAGCCCACGGCUCAACCGUGGAAGCGCAUCCGAAACUGCUUCGCUCGAGUCUCGGAGAGGAAGGUGGAAUGCUUGGUGUAGAGGUGAAAUUCGUAGAUAUCUGGAGGAACACCGGUGGCGAAGGCGGCAUCCUGGACCAAUUCUGACGCUGAGGAGCGAAAGCCAGGGGAGCAAACGGG